UACGUAGGGUCCGAGCGUUGUCCGGAAUUACUGGGCGUAAAGAGCUCGUAGGUGGUUUGCCGCGUUGUUCGUGAAAACUCACAGCUCAACUGUGGGCGUGCGGGCGAUACGGGCAGACUAGAGUACUGCAGGGGAGACUGGAAUUCCUGGUGUAGCGGUGGAAUGCGCAGAUAUCAGGAGGAACACCGGUGGCGAAGGCGGGUCUCUGGGCAGUAACUGACGCUGGAGGAGCGAAAGCGUGGGGAGCGAACAGG
rnacentral:rRNA from 1 species